UACGAAGGGGGCUAGCGUUGCUCGGAAUCACUGGGCGUAAAGCGCGUGUAGGCGGCUAUGUAAGUCGGGCGUGAAAUCCCACGGCUCAACCGUGGAAGUGCACCCGAAACUGCGUAGCUAGAGUCCUGGAGAGGAAGGUGGAAUGCUUGGUGUAGAGGUGAAAUUCGUAGAUAUCAAGCGGAACACCGGUGGCGAAGGCGGCCUUCUGGACAGUGACUGACGCUGAGACGCGAAAGCGUGGGGAGCAAACAGG
rnacentral:rRNA from 1 species